rnacentral:rRNA from 1 species
GACGAAGGAUGCAAGCGUUAUCCGGAUUCAUUGGGCUUAAAGGGAGCGUAGACGGACUUAUAAGUCAGUGGUGAAAUCUCUGGGCUUAACCCAGAAACUGCCAUUGAUACUGUAGGUCUAGAGUACAUUUGCUGUGGGCGGAAUAUGACAUGUAGUGGUGAAAUACUUAGAUAUGUCAUAGAACACCGAUUGCGAAGGCAGCUCACAAAAAUGUAACUGACGCUGAGGCUCGAAAGUGCGGGGAUCAAACAGG